GACGAACGCUGGCGGCGUGCUUAACACAUGCAAGUCGAACGGAAAGGCCCGGCUUUUGUUGGUUUCUCGAUUGGCGAAGAGGGGAGUAACACGUGAGUAACCUGCCCUUAUCUGUGUGGGAACUUCAGGGGACUGGGGCUAAUACCCGAUAUGAUCUCCUGCUGCAUGGUGUUGGUUAGAAAGUUUCGGCGGUUGGGGAUCGACUCGCUGCUUAUCAGCUUGUUUGUGUGGUAGGGGCUUACCAAGGCUUUGACGGGUAGCCGGCCUGAGAGGGUGACCGGCAACAUUGGGACUGAGAUAGGGACCAGAAUGCUACCGGAGGCAGCAGUGGAGAAUAUUGCACAAUGGGCGGAAGCCUGAUGCAGAAACGCUGCGUGCGGGAUGACGGCCUUCGGGUUGUAAACAGAUUUCGAAUGUGACGAAGAGUGCGUGACGGUAAUGGGUAAAGAAGCAACGGCUAACUACGUG
rnacentral:rRNA from 1 species